GAGUUAACAAAUGAAAUUAAUUGUCAAGCAUGUAAAAAGAUAGUUUCAAGUUUUAAAAAUAUUUCACAGCCAAAACAGACAGUUCCCUUCACCACUACCAUCACCCUCCCCCAAAGAGUGAAAGCCAGCUGCUCUAACAGUUCCAGGCAACUGCUAAAAACAGGAAGCAAAGAGUAACUGAAACUGCAGGAUGAGCAUGGUCCCAUCAAUGCAACCACCCCACCCCCGCCCCACUGAGACAACCAUCUGACUGCUGUUGAGGACACAGCCGAAGAGCAAUUUCACUUCUUCAAGGGCCUCCCCUUUAGAGGACUGAGCAGAGGGUGGACAACAGCGAUGUUACAGCAGGCUCACACCCCACUCUGCUUUCCAGCUGACACGCGCAGCCAGGGAUCCGUGCAAACCGGUGAUGAUGUCCAAGCUUCAAUGAUAACGUACUUGCUCUUCACAAAAGAGCAGCAGGAGAGUAUGUACAUAGACACAAACCAAAAAAUGAUUGAGUUACAUCUUCAAACUAUUGCUAUGAUUAACUGAGUUUUUUCAAAAAAAUCACAAUUUUUACGUUCAGCCCAUAUAUAACACUUUGCACCUUUAGUAAUGAUUCCUAAAUAUUCCUUAAAAUAAAAGCUGGGUGCAAGGGCAAAUGCCUGUCAUGCUACUCACGGGGCUGAGGCAAAGGGACUGCAAGUUCAGGGACAGCCUCAGCAAUUUACCAAGGCCCUGUCUCAAAAUAAACAAAUAAAAA